rnacentral:rRNA from 1 species
CCCUUAGAUGUUCUGGGCCGCACGCGCGCUACAAUGAUGAAUUCAGCGAGUUUAUAACCUUGGUUGAAAAGCCUGGGUAAUCUUUUGAACUUUCGUCGUGAUGGGGCUAGACCCUUGCAAUUAUUGGUCUCCAACGAGGAAUUCCUAGUAAACGCAAGUCAUCAGCUUGCAUUGAUUACGUCCCUGCCCUUUGUACACACCGCCCGUCGCACCUACCGAUUGAAUGGUCCGGUGAAAUCUUCGGAUUGAGACUUUGAUUUGUUUACUCAAAACGCUGUUUCAAGAAGUUGAUUAAACCUUACCAUUUAGAGGAAGGUGAAGUCGUAACA